UCUUAGACAAGCUGUGGCCUGGCCGAGGAGGAGUAAGCUGCCCAACUGGAGCCCUCCAAUCUCUGGAUUCUGAAGUGUCUGACCAACACUCCCCCAGUUAAAUUCCCCGAAGGUUGAAGAGAUUGGAUGGACCACAUCAUCUUCCUUUUCUGCUUUAGAAUCCAGUAUGGGAGAAAACCAUUGCUAGGGAUUGGCACGAGUCGGAAGAAAAGCAUCCUGGAGCACAAAGGCAGUCUCUCUUCCUUAAAAAUGUGUCAGGAGCCCUCUAGGGACCGAGGACCAGAGAAGUUGAGACACCUGUCCUCAUUCGGUUUCCUAACUCACAGUACAGUCUUCUUUCCAAAACAUCCUCUGGAUUCUCAGUGAAGAAGUAAAAGUGAGGUGCCCUCAAAUGCCAGUGUGUUCCAGCAGUGUGGGGGGUUUGGCACCAUGAAGCUCGGCAUGCAGACUUGAGUGUGGGCUGCUCCACCCAUCUGGAGAAGUGAUAUCUCCAGGCCUUCUUUCUCUUCUCUCCUUCCACUGCCCAAAUCUUCCAUAUCCAUAUACAAGACCCAUCUUGUAGGUGAAGCCUCCUGGGAUCACCCCAAUAACUGCUCUCUCUUCUGAAACCCUCAGUAGGUGCAUAUGUGGCAAAUGGCUGCAGCAAACAUCUUGAGUUGCUGUUUAAUUCCGUCGUUAUUAUCUUAACUUUUCUGUUGGCAUAUCUUGUUUCCCCAGCUUCAUUGCCGGUUUCUGCACAGCCAGGACUGUGUAUUAUGAAUGAUUUUGUAUUCCCUACAUCUGGGCACACAGUAGGUCCAAUGAAUACUUCUUGAAUCAAUCGAGUAUUUGUUGAGGACAACAUCUACACCCAGUGGCUCUGAAUGCUGACAAAGAUACAGGAGAAGAGGGAUAUCUGGUCCUUGUCCCCAAGGAGUUCAGGUACCAAGUGUCUGGAAGCCAGGUCUCAGAGGGAGAGGCAGUGUGAAAACCACUGGGAAUGGUUCUCAACCUUGGCUGCACGUGGGAAUCACCUGGGAAGCUCUAAACAAUACAGACCCUUGGGUCCCACCGUAGCUAUUCUGAUCUGAUGAUCUGCAGGGGAGCCUGGCAUUCUCCAGAUGAUUCGAAGAUGUAGCCGAGUUGCAGAAUCACCGAAUUAGAAGGUAUAAUCUGCCUUCUAAAGCCCGCUCGUUACCAAAAUGAGACUGGGACCCAGGAGCCUUCUCUGACUGGGAGGUCAGGUAUCAGAAGGGGAGUCAGCUUUGCCUCCCCAAGUCUCAAAAGGAACUUCACGACAUCCUCCCGCAACACUUGCCUCACCAGCUGCUCCAUUAGCAUUUCCAAGAGAAGACAGAGAACUCCAGAAUGUUUAUGAAAGGCUUUGGCAGGCAUCACAGACAAAAUUCAAAUUAGACAAGAACUCAUUCCUUUGUGUGACAAAGGAGGAAAACAGCUGAUAUUUACAGCUUGGGAAGCUGCUCCUUUAAGAGAAGUAGGUACUCAGUGCUUGUUCAAGAGCUCAAAGUGCCUUUCUGCUCUAUGCCCUUGAGGAGAUUGUUCUAGGUGGUUCAAACCCUGUCCCUUCCACUUUAGUACAGCAUUAAUCAUUUAGCCCUUAUAGAAGGGCCUAGAAACCCAGCCAAAGUUGGAUUCAUCACCCCAAUACCUACAUAAGGAACCAAGGAUUGGUAGAAUCCUCUCUGGGGGCUUCUGAACUCAGACGUCUUUCUUGGGAAGCUGGCGCUCUCUCAUUCCUCAUUCCAGUUGGCUCAGCACUCUAAGACUGUUUUUCUCAAGGUGCAGCCUCCAAAUCAACCUGCAUUACAGUCACCGGGGAGAUUAUGGUAUUGUAUGAAAAAUACAAAUUUUUGACCCUCACCCCAAAUCCUCUGAAUCAGAAUGCUUUGGGGGGCCUGGAAUCUGCAUUUUAAAUAAGCUCCCAAGGUGGUUCUUUUGCCUUCUUGGGUGCCGUGACUACUCAUGCAAUGGAACGAGCACUGUACUUGGAGUCAGAAAGCCUGAAUGUGAGUUCCUGACCCCACCCCUUACUAGUGAUGUUGGACUAGUUGUUUAGUCCAUCUGAACUUCUGUAAAAAGGGGCAAAUUGUGUUGUGACAGUUAAAUAAACUACAUGUGAAAAUGCUGCA
rnacentral:lncRNA from 1 species